UGUUACUCUGAGUGUAUAUCCACACCGGGCGAGCUUGAAAAAUAUGCCCGCCCACGGUGGGAUUCGAACCUACGACCUUUGGAAUACUAGCCCAAUGCUCUUCCAACUGAGCUACGCGGUCAGGACGGUUCGAGUAAGUGAUAUUUCGGAACAGAAUUGUUAUUUUCGGAACAGAAUUGUUAUUUUCUUUCUUUCUGUUUGCAAAUUAUCUCUAUCAAUCCAUAGAAAACAAGCAGUAUACGUUUGUAUUUCUUCGUAUUUCGAACGCGCACUCCUUGAAGGCAGCCAUAUUGCCGAAUAUAAACAUCCACUUGAUGAAUGAACUUUUCAUAUUUCACUCUAUUUCCAACGACCAAUCAAAUCGCUUCUGCUUCGGCUUGUCCCAGGGCUUACGGCAACGCAGGCAGCCGAGAAGCCCUGGGAACGAGGAUGGACCAGACACUGCGAGACGCGCUGGCCAAGGAGGCUUUCUCGUAUUUGUAAUAUCCUUAUAAAGUU